CAGGACUGAACUUGGGUCACUGGAGCUGAGAGGUUCUUCUCCAUUAUUUCCUAUUCACUGGAAAUAGUAGGAUAAGAAUAAGUAUGUUUCUUCUGCUUUGGAAGCCAAGGGAAAGUGGCAGCUGUUUGCAGUGGAUGCUAGACCAGGAGAUGCCCUAAAAUUGUACAUCCAGAAAAAAAUAACCUUCCCAAAAUGGUCACAAACAA